rnacentral:rRNA from 1 species
AUGCAGUCGAACGCGAAAGUUCCCUUCGGGGAGCGAGUAGAGUGGCGCACGGCCCUNUNAACACGUAGGUAAUUUGCCUUUGGGUGGGGAAUACCACCUNGAAACGGUUGUUAAUACCGCAUAAUGCAGCGGCAUCACAUGAUGACAGUUGUUAAAGCGGGGGAUUGGAGCAAUCCGACCUCGCGCCUGAAGAGAAGCCUGCGGCAGAUUAGGUAGUUGGUGAGGUAAUGGCUCACCAAGCCUGCGAUCUGUAACCGGCCUGAGAGGGCGGUCGGUCACACUGACACUGACAUACGGGUCAGACUCCUACGGGAGGCAGCAGUCGGGAAUUUUGGGCAAUGGGCGAAAGCCUGACCCAGCAACGCCGCGUGAAGGAUGAAAUUUUUCGGAAUGUAAACUUCGCAAGAAUGGGAAGAAUAAGUGGGGGACAAUACCCCCCAUGAUGACGGUACCAUUUGUAAGCUCCGGCUAACUUCGUGCCAGCAGCCGCGGUAAUACGAGGGGAAGCGAGCGUUGUUUCGGAAUUUACUGGGCGUNAANGGGCGCGUANGCCGGCUCUACAAGNUCACUUUGUGAAAAUCUCCGGGGCUUUAAACUCNGNAACGGGUCAAGUGAAUACUGUCCGGGGCUAAAANUGCNAAAAGGGGGCCAAUUGGGAAUUC